AGAACUCCUAAUAGAAUUUAUAUCUACAGGGAAAUGAUGUAAAUACUCGGGCGCACAGCAUGUUUUGAAUGAAAAAUCCGUUGUGAAGCGUUCCCGACCUAAAGAAACAGGGAAUCAUAUGAUACAAUAAAACUGUGAGCACGAACUUCGGCAGAUGCGAUAUAAUGUGUGUCGUCGACAUAACAUGAUAUUGACGGACGGCAGGUCGUCCGCGUCCACGAGCAUGAGUUACAAAGGGAACAUCAAAAAAGAAGGCAAAACAUUGAAUCAUUUAAAAGAUAAUUAAUUUGAUACAAAAGCAAGCAGUGGCAUGUUAUUCCACCUGCAGGAGUCUAAUGCUUUGUGCUGAAAUUUUUGUGUAAUGUUUGGCCGUGUUCCAAGGUUAUGCUAAAUUUAUUCAAUUUUGUUCACCCUAAAGAAGCAGUAAUUAUAUACAUAUGCUCCUUUUAGAGCUGUUAUAUUUGUAUUGGAAGAGUUGAAAGAUUUUUUGAAUAAAUUCUUUCACCUGUAAUCAAGUGAAAUACAUGCGGAGUUUUUUUCGUCAGCGUACAAAACAUGGGAAUGCAGGAAGUAAUGUCAUGGUAUCAAAAGAAAAUUGGAACUUACGAUAAGCAGCAAUGGGAACACACAAUAGAACAGCGGAUUAUCCAUGGGCUUACCCAUGUUCCAAAGAAGACAGCAAAACUUAAGACUGAUCUUAUAGAUGUGGAUCUUGUCAGAGGUUCUUCGUUCCCAAAAGCUAAACCAAAACAUGGUCUGAUAACAGUGACGAGGUUGGCCUGCCUCAGGUUAGUUCUGCUUCCAGCCUACAGUCACUGGUGGAUUCAGCAAACUUCACCACGUGUCUUCGUAUUGCUGACAACACUGUAUGUGUUGCAGUUAGUUUGCGGAGUUACAUAUUUUUACUACUGUUCACUCACUGAAGAUGGAACUCUUGAGAGGGUCACAGCAUCAGAAGUGAUGGUACCAGUUGCCAUGAUGAUCAUCCUAAGUGUAAUACACUCACAGAUAGUAUCAACUCAUAUUGGCCCAUGCAGGCAACCAUCAAGCCAAAGGCCACGUCGCAGCAAGCGUACACGUAGACGUCAUGCAAGCAGCUCACGAUCACGCGCUAGUCACGUAUCUGAAAAGACUGAAGACAUAGAUGACCAGACACUCAGCAGUUACCAAAAACGGCCACUAAUUAGGAGGUUUUCGUCUGAUGAUGUAAAGAGGUCUACAGUUAUGUGGGAUAUUUCAUGCAAACAAAAGAAAAAACCUGAUUUGUUAGGGAAACCAAAAUCUGUUGGAGACAGUAAUAGUCCCUCUGAGAGACAGCAGCACAGAAACAGGCAAGGACACACAGACAGGGAAGCCCAGAACCAUUGCAAAGUGACACCUUUGGAUGAUGAUGGUUUUGAGAGCUUAACAGGUAAUGGCUCAAGUGAGAAUGGUGAAGAGGCUGUUGAAGAAGGUGAUGAUGUAGAAGAAAAUAAACAAAGUCCCAGUUUAAAUAAAAAAGGUGAAAAUAGUUUUGCCAGCAGCUUAAGCAACAGUGAUUCAAAGACAGAGUUGAGUCAACAGUCUGCACUCAGUUGUGUGUCUAGCGAAAAAAAUUCACAGGAUUCAAUUUGUGAUGUUACACCAGAAACAUUGCCUGGACAGCCAUACUGUCAUCUAUCAGAUACUCCUGAAGCAGCUGUCCCACUUUGCACAGAGGAUCUGAGGAAGGAGAAACAAUUCAGGAACAGUUGGUCACCAGAGAUUAUCACAUGUCAUAGCUAUGUUCCUGAUGGUAAUCAUGCUGACAAUGAAACAGAUGGCUCCGAUACUGAAAUGAGGACUCCUGUUCAGAGAGUUGCAAAAGUACGUUCUGGAGCAGAGAGCAGCUACAACAGCAGUUGCGAUAGUGAAGGUCAAGCCACUGAAGGUGGAAGCUGUUGUCCAUUGUUGACUGAGAUUACUACUUCGGCGGGGGAAUGGAUGGGUGUAACGACAAAUAGUGAGGAGUGUAGUUACAGCUCAGAGCUGGAUGAGACGGACAGCCAGCAUGGCAGCACAGAGCUGAAUGAUCACCCUUUUGCUUGGGAGAUAGGUUUGUCCCCAAAUGUUAUUCUUAGCCCAAGUUGUGCUACAUCUGAUAAAGUCAGCUGUACAAUAUGGGAAAAUCAUGAUGUGAAGAAGGCUGAUCUUUCUGUGCUAGAUAUCAGUUCCGCUAUUAUAGCCAGAGUGGAAACUAUGCCUGAAAAUAUGGACUAUUUUUAUGCAGGUGUAGUAGUUUCCGUGGUGAUUUCCCUGCUGCCUUCAAUAUGCCGUUUUGUUGAUGUUUUAUCAGAGACGCAACCAAUAACUCCUGUCAACACAGUUAUGCUUGCCAAUGUGUCAUCAUCCAGCACCCUGAAUAUUGGAGGACUACUGUCGCAUUUUUCAGACUCUCUUAUUUAUAUUUCUGAGGCUGCUGUUGGGGGAACAUUAUGUGAGAGGAUACUUAUAUGGAUAGCAGUUUUUGAACGAUUUGUGCUCUCUGUCUUGUUUUUCUUUUUAUUGGCUGUGGCAGAACGUACAUUUAAGCAACGUUUUUUGUACGCUAAAUUGUUCUCACACCUGACGUCAUUCCGAAGAGCAAAGAAAUCAGAGUUGCCACAUUUUCGUCUCAACAAAGUGCGCAAUAUUAAGACAUGGUUAUCUGUGCGUUCAUACCUCAAGAAACGAGGGCCACAGAGAUCAGUUGAUAUGAUUGUAUCAGCUGCUUUUCUCAUAACACUGCUACUGCUGUCCUUCCUGAGUGUUGAGUUUCUUAAGGUCAGUGUGGAUGAAAACACCUGUGACUCAGAGGAUUCAUCAAAGCUCCAUUCACAGUACAACCUUGAAGCUCUAAUCUGGUGCCUGGUUUUGGGUGUUUUUCUUCUACGAUUUAUGACUUUGGGGACAAAGACAAACAGAAAAUAUCGGAAUCUUUCUGUUCUGCUUACAGAGCAGAUAAAUCUGUAUCUUCAGAUAGAGCAAAAACCACACAAAAAAGAAGAACUGAUGGUGGCAAACAGUGUUCUCAAGUUAGCAGCUGAUCUUCUCAAGGAGUUGGAGAGUCCUUUCAAGAUAUCGGGACUAUCAGCUAAUCCAUAUCUCUAUACAAUUACAAAGGUAGUAAUACUUUCGGCCCUCUCAGGAGUUCUUUCUGAGAUGCUUGGAUUCAAACUUAAGUUGCACAAGAUCAAAAUCAAGUAAAAAUGUUGGAAAUAAUGGGACUCGACUUCUUUAAACAUCCAGGACGAGGAUACAGGAAGAGUGCAGUUGCAAUGUUUCUUAAAAUAUUGGAGACUGCUCUGACUUAGCAGAAUGCUUAAAGUUUCAGAGUAUGACAUGAACUAGGUUUGUUUUACACUUCAUUUCUUUGUUCGAGAACAAAUGAAAUCAAAAGAAAAGGAAACAAACUUUUAGUUGGUGCUGGAAUAGAAAUGUAGUGAAAGUCCUUUACAUCAGAACUGUCAUUUGCUGGAUUUAUUGCUAUGUAAAAUACAGCAGAUAGAAAUCAGUACACUGUAAUGUGUAGGGUUGUGACUACCAAUUAUGAUAGCAUAGCUGCAUAAAUGAAUUAGUAAGGCAGUUGAUUGUGAUUGACAAUUAUGAUAGCAUGUCUGCAUAAAUAAAUUGGUAAGGCAGUACUACUCUGCACAGACAUUAUUAUAUUUGAUUAACAUCAGUGCUUUCUGUACAUAGGAAUACUGGAACUUGGGCAUGUUGGCACAAUAUAAAUGAAUUAUCUCUGAUAGACCACAGAUUUUUAUAAGUUCUGUUUGAACAGUGAUUGACAAAUGUGUACUUCCUUGGUACUGUGUUAACUGGUAACCUUGACUUGUAGAGUUUCAUUUUAUGUUUUAGGGACUAUAGAACAAGAUCUGCAAUGAUGAGAUAUUAUGUGUACAUAUUUUAUUGCAAUAGGGUACUGUAAGUGGCAGCUAAGAGGCAUAUAAUGCCAAGAGAUCUCAAUGUGAUAAGUAAUACAUGUUAAAUAGUGUAUCACAGCUUUAAAUAGGCUCAAAAACACCAACCAGGAUUUGUGUAUGCUAUUUUGUUGUUUGUGGAAUGCAUGAAGCUGAAAUCCUAAUUGGUUGUGAGUUUUACCUUGUGUACAGCUACUGUCAUAUUUGUUAAGAUUGUGAAAUUGUGUGUUCCAAAAGUGAACAUCUUAAGUAUUUAGUGAAAUAUCUGUGUGAUGUUCAGUUGCUUAAAAGUGUUUGUAUCAAACAUUCAGCUAAAUAAAGACAAAUGUAUGAAGUUGAA